AAAUAACUACGAGUAAAAACUUAAAAUUUAAAAGACUUGACGGUACUUCACAACAACCUAGAGGAGCCUGUCCAUAACCGAUAAUCCACGAUUAACCCUACCCGCUUUUGCCUUAACAGUCUAUAUACCGCCGUCGCCAGCUUACCUUGUGAAAGAAACAAAGCAAGCCUAAUAGCACCCCUAACACGACAGGUCGAGGUGUAACAAAUAAGCGGGCAAAGAUGGGCUACAUUUUCUCAUUAAGAAAAUACGAACAAAGUAUGAAAUAACAACCUGAAGGUGGAUUUAGCAGUAAGACAAAGACAUAAUACUUAUCUGAAACCAAUGCAAUGAAGUGCGU
rnacentral:rRNA from 1 species